GAUGAAGAACGCAGCGAAAUGCGAUAAGUAAUGUGAAUUGCAGAAUUCAGUGAAUCAUCGAAUCUUUGAACGCACAUUGCGCCCUCUGGUAUUCCGGGGGGCAUGCCUGUUCGAGCGUCAUUAUAACCACUCAAGCUCUCGCUUAGUAUUGGAGUUCGCGAUCUCGCGGCUCCUAAAAUCAGUGGCGGUGCCUGUCGGCUCUACGCGUAGUAAUACUCCUCGCGAUUGAGUCCGGUAGGUUUACUUGCCAGCAACCCCCAAUUUUUACAGGUUGACCUCGGAUCAGGUAGGGAUACCCGCUGAACUUAAGCAUAUCAAUAAGCGGAGGA
rnacentral:misc_RNA from 1 species